rnacentral:rRNA from 1 species
CGGCGAGUGAAGCGGCAAAGCUCAAAUUUGAAAUCUGGUACCUUCGGUGCCCGAAUUGUAAUUUGAAGAUAGUUUUCUGGUGCUGGCCCUUGUCUAUGUUCCUUGGAACAGGACGUCACAGAGGGUGAGAAUCCCGUCUGGCGGGGUGUCCAGUGCUUUGUAGAUUUCUAUCGACGAGUCGAGUUGUUUGGGAAUGCAGCUCUAAGUGGGUGGUAAAUUCCAUCUAAAGCUAAAUAUUGGCGAGAGACCGAUAGCGAACAAGUACAGUGAUGGAAAGAUGAAAAGAACUUUGAAAAGAGAGUGAAAAAGUACGUGAAAUUGUUGAAAGGGAAGGGUAUUAGAUCAGACUUGGUGUUUUGUGAUUAUCUUCCCUUCUUGGGUUGUGCACUCGCAUUUCACUGGGCCAGCAUCGGUUCGGGUGGCAAGAUAAUGACAUUGGAACGUGGCACUACCUUCGGGUGGUGUGUUAUAGCCCUUGUUGAUGUUGCCUAUCUGGACCGAGGACUGCGGCUUUUGCCUAGGAUGCUGGCGUAAUGAUCUAACACCGCCCGUCUUG